rnacentral:ncRNA from 1 species
GUGUUAUAUGAUGGGAGAGAAGCUUAGCACUCCCCUUGACAGGGAUAAAAGAGGCUCUUGGGCCUAACAACACACAUAUAGUUAAGGCAUUGCACCUAUGUCAUAAUUUUAUACAUUU